rnacentral:rRNA from 1 species
AACGCUAGCUACAGGCUUAACACAUGCAAGUCGAGGGGUAACGAGAGGAAAGCUUGCUUUCCUUGUCGACGACCGGCGCACGGGUGAGUAACGCGUAUCCAACCUGCCCCCAACUAGGGAAUAACCUUGCGAAAGUAAGACUAAUACCCUAUAAUUUCCUCAGAUGUCAUCUGACGAGGAAUAAAGAUUUAUCGGUUGUGGAUGGGGAUGCGUCUGAUUAGCUUGUUGGCGGGGUAACGGCCCACCAAGGCAACGAUCAGUAGGGGUUCUGAGAGGAAGGUCCCCCACAUUGGAACUGAGACACGGUCCAAACUCCUACGGGAGGCAGCAGUGAGGAAUAUUGGUCAAUGGGCGGAAGCCUGAACCAGCCAAGUAGCGUGCAGGAUGACGGCCCUAUGGGUUGUAAACUGCUUUUAUACAGGAAUAAAGUUAGCCACGUGUGGUUAUUUGUAGGUACUGUAUGAAUAAGGACCGGCUAAUUCCGUGCCAGCAGCCGCGGUAAUACGGAAGGUCCAGGCGUUAUCCGGAUUUAUUGGGUUUAAAGGGAGCGUAGGCCGUCUGUUAAGCGUGUUGUGAAAUGUAGAUGCUCAACAUCUGAAUUGCAGCGCGAACUGGCAGACUUGAGUGUGCGCAACGUAGGCGGAAUUCGUGGUGUAGCGGUGAAAUGCUUAGAUAUCACGAAGAACUCCGAUUG